AUGCCCUACAUACCAGCUGACGUCACAAACCUACAGGCAAAGUACCGUAGAGAGAGCAAGUUGGCUGACAUAGAGGCAACAAUGGCGUACUUCGAUGAGAAAGCGAAGGAAGAUCCAGAUUUCUUCUACAGGAUAAGGUUGGACGAUGAGGACCGUGUCAGGAACAUGUAUUGGGUGGAUGGUGCUGCAAGGAGAGCCUACAAACAUUUUCGAGAUUGCAUUUCAUUCGACGCGACGUAUCUCACUAAUAUGUACAAGAUGCCAUGCGCUCCAUUCAUAGGAAUAAAUAACCACAAUCAGUCGUUGCAGUUCGGCUGCGGGCUCGUUCGGAACAAAGACACGGAUGGGUACGUUUGGCUGUUCAAGACCUUCUUGGAGUGCAUGGAUGGACUUACUCCGAUGAACAUAAUAACAGACCAGGAUUUUAGCAUGCGUGCAGGCAUAGAGGAGGUCUUUCUGUUGGCAGUGCACAGGCACUGCAGGUGGCACAUUAUAAAGAAGGCUGAGGAGACGCUAGGACCGUUCUUUGCUGACCGUCUAGAGCUGCACAAGGCAUUCUAGCUGUGCGUGGACCACAGCUUGGCGGUGGAGGAGUUUGAAAGGAGCUGGAUGGCCAUGAUUGAAACAUAUCAAGUCCAAGACAAUGAGACUCUUGCUAGCCUGUGGGAGAAGCGAAUGUACUAGGUGUCGGCCUACUUCAUGCACUGCUUCUUCCCCUUUCUGCAGACUACACAGCACAACGAGGGGUUCAAUGCUGUUUUGAAGCGGUACGUGAGCCCUGACAACUCAUUGCUAUAG
rnacentral:rRNA from 1 species